GAUCAUGGCUCAGGAUGAACGCUGGCGGCGUGCCUAACACAUGCAAGUCGAACGGAGUUUACAUGAAACCUAGUGAUUGUAAACUUAGUGGCGGACGGGUGAGUAACGCGUGGGUAACCUGCCCUGUACUGGGGGAUAACACUUAGAAAUAGGUGCUAAUACCGCAUAGGCGCACAGUGCCGCAUGGCACGGCGUGAAAAACUCCGGUGGUACAGGAUGGACCCGCGUCUGAUUAGAUAGUUGGUG
rnacentral:rRNA from 1 species